rnacentral:lncRNA from 1 species
UAAGAGACUGCUUUGUAGCCGGACAAAUGUUGUUCUUCGCAGAGAAUAUCCAUUUUUCGAUGUUUUCUCGAUCAUAUGUUAUUCCAGUUGAGAUCGUGACAGGAUCUUUCAUCAUCUCUAGAGAAAUCGGACAAAUAAAAUAAGGAGGUACUUGAAUUUCUUCCAUUUGUAUAUUUUGGAAAAUUUCAAGAUUAAUCAAAGAAGGAGAAAUCAAGAACUAGAAAAUAUCUUUUGUUAUAUUGAGUAGAUGAAGAAGUUGAAGCUUUUAUGGUUAUAUAUAUAAGUUGAGAAUAUUGGAAAGAGAUUUUCAAAGUCAAAAUUAAACACGGCAAAUUAAAUAGGCCAAGUUACAUGUAUACGUAGGAAAAAAGGUGCACAUUUUGACUUUUUCUAUCUAAUAAGAAUAAAAACAAUAAUAAUAAUAAUAAUAAUAAUAAUAUAUAUCUAGUUUUAUUUUAUGUAUAAUAAACUCGUGUUUUAUUAGUGUAAAUAAAGACUGCCGACAGGACAACUUACUUUUAAUCUUUUAUUCACGUUAUUAAUUUGAUUAAACAUGAAAUUGUAAAAUAUAUUUUAUAUAUUUAAUUUAUGUGAUUAUAAUUCAAUAUCUCGGGUUCAAUCCUGGGAUAUGAAGAAAAUCUUGUUGAGAGCUCCACCCCCAAAAUGGAACCUGCAAUGCAUGAUACAUAUUUAAUCGGGGAUCCAAUGCACACACCACACACCUAAUAUAAAACCAAAACAAUCAUUUUAAAUAUAUAAAAUAUAUUUUAAAUAAAAAUUAAUGCUGAUGGAUGGUUUUGGUUAUUGUCUAAUUUUCUUUAUCAAGUGAGAUUUAUAUUAGGUGGAUUAAAAAUUUGAAAUUUAUAGAUUCCUACCAUAGUUUCAAGUUAAUACACAAUAGCAUCUUAGUUCAUAAUUAUAUAAUUAUAAAUAUUAAUGAAUUUUAAUAAAAAUAAAAGACUUGCACAAAGUUACUAAUUCUUCACCAUUUUGACCUUUACCAAUUCUCUUGCCUUUUUAUUUAUUUCUUACGUAUUAUUAUUAUUAUUUAUUUAUUUUUGAGUAGUGAAAAUUUUCAUGAAAUUUUCAACAGGUUAUUUAUAGUUCAUGUUGCAGUUGGUAGUUAAGACCAGGUUUUAAUUGAAAUUUUCUUUUGAGUACUCAAAAUUUCAAAGAAAUUUUCAAUAGGUUAUUUUUAUUUCAUGUUGCACUAGUUGGCAGUUAAGAAUACGUACUAAUUGAAGCAUUCAAGUCAAACUAUUUUUAUUUUAUUACAAUUGUGGUAUUCCAGUCAGCUUGCACACAUCUCGAUUAAUUUUAUAGAAUACAUGUUAUCUUCUAUCAUCAACAGAUGGAAAGAAAUCACCUAAUACUUUGUUUCUGCUGAAAUUUGAAUUUGAUGAAACCUCAUAGUGCUUAACUUAAUUACUUUAUUGAUCAUUAGGCGAUACAUUUGGGUGGCAAUCAACCUUUUUUUAAUGGUAUCAUAGUUCUAUUAUUAUAAUAAAAUGUUAUUAUAAAAAAUAAUUAAUUUAUAAUAAAACAUCAUUUGUUACAGAGAAAUGUGUCUUUACAUAGUUAGCUUGAGGAAUUUAACAAGGGUCAAUAAUAUUGUGUGCAUUUUUUCUCUCGGAAUAUUGAGAAAAAUACACUUAUAUUUAAUAUAUAUAUAUAUAUAUAUAUAUAUAUAUACAAACAUUAUUUUUCUUGAAUGAUGAAUUUUGACGUGUAUUAUAGGUUAUUGUAUUUGAUUUGUAUCUUAUCAUUUUGUUGUCUUAUUCCCUUACAAAUUUGUCUCAAAUCCUAUUAGAAUAACUUCUCUAUCCCACAAAGAUAUAUAGACUAAUUACGUAUAUCAUAUUCGAUCGUGUUCUUUUCAGAUCUCACUUGUGAGAUUACAUUAGGUAUGUUAUUGUUAUUGAUUUUCAAAAGUAAUUGUCUCAAAUUAUUCAAUAUUUUAGAAGUUCAAGAUAAAAUUAAUUAAUUUUUUUCGUAUUUUACUCGUGAUAGUAUUUUUUUUUUUUUUAAAGAUAAUCACAUAAAACUUAUUAUGGGGUUUUAUUCAAUGAAUAGAAAGACUAUAUCACAAGAUAUAAAUAAUAAAAGUAAAAUAAUCAAAAUUUCUUAUAGUUAUUAUCUUUUUUAAAAGUGCGUAAAAAAUACAAUAAAUAAUUUAAGACGGAGAAGUAUUAACUAACAAGUUGAUCCGAAUAAACACUACAGUUUGACAGAUAGCCAUCCUUUUCUAAAAUAGCCACAAAAGAAAUGGUACAAGUUGAAAUGAGCUCAUAGUAUAUACUUAUUGAAUUUCCAAGUCAAAUUAUCCAAUAUAAUUAAUGAUGAAUUCAAUAAAUUAGAAAAGUCAACUAAGUUCACACAAAUUUACAUUUAUUUUUCUAAAGUCGUUUGGAGAAUUCAUGGAUCAUGAAAUAAGUGGCUAAAUUUUAAAGUCCAAUUAAUUAUUACAAUAUUCAAAGCUUAACCACUUGAUGCUUUCUUCUUUCAAUUGACGGACUUGUUGCACUCAUGUCCACAAAUUUUCAAAGCAUUAUCGAAAUUAAUAGUUGUUGAAAAAUAUUGAAAAAUCAUGAAAAUUCUCGAAGUUUGAAGCAUUAUCAAAAUUAAUAAUUAUCAGAAAAUGUUGAAAUAUCAUGGAAAUUCUCGAAGCUUGAAGUAUUAUCGAAAUUAAUAGUUAUUGGAAAAUAUUGGAAAAUCAUAGAAAUUCUCGAAGCUUGAAACAUUAUUGAAAUUAAUAGUUAUUGAAAAAUAUUGAAAAACCACGGAAUUCUCGAAGCUAUAAUUGAGGCAUACCUAUUAACACCGGCCUUAAGAAUAUUUCACUUGAUUUAAGUGUAUCCCCAGAAUCAACAAGUUCUUCUAAUAUAAAACUAGGAACACAGAAACGGACAAAAAAAUUAUUAAAGUAGAUUAUAACCCAACAAAAAAAAGGGAGAAUAAGUUUUUUUAUUAUUUUUAAUGUUUUGUAUCUUCUUUACUGUAGAAGGAAAAAUCUCAUAUAUACAAUAAAAGUAGUCAAAACCUUCAACGGCUAAAAGAUUAUUAUAGCAAAUUAAGAAAAAUCAUUACUAAUGAAUAAGAAUAAUAUCCAAAUAUAUGUUCUGUUUAAUUGCAAAUUAACGUUAGAAAAUAGUCAACAAUGCUAUUUAAGGUAGGAAAUUAUAAAGUUUUGCCAACGGUCAAUUUAUUAUAAUGAAGGCCAUAUAUAAAUGUUAAUUAAAAGUAUUUUGAAGACAUAAUCAUAUUUUUGAGAUAUUAAAAAUACAUUUUUCAACAAUAGUUAGAUUAUAUUCUAUUGAAUCAUAUUAUUUAAUAAUAAGACAAUAAAGUAUUACUAUGAGAUUUAAUUCUUUCCAUAUUCAUAUGAUAAAAUAAAUGUUGAUCACAGUUUAUGUAGACUAAAUUUCAAAAAACAAAUGUGACAAAUAAUUCACAUACAUAUACAAAAGUCGUCUAAAAAAUUGAGUUUUAUCAUAAAAUAAGUGGCUAAGAUUAAAGUCCAAUUAAUUACACUCAAUUCCUAAUUAUCAUACUUUCAAAUUUAAUGUUGUGUGCUGCUGAGAGACACUAGUUUUAGAAUUUUGACUAUGUAUAUUAGUCUUAAAUCGGAUUAUUGACUUGAUUAAUUUAAAUUUGUGUUGUGAUGAACCUAUUUAAGGGAGAAACAUUCUAGGGUUUAAACGUUCUACGACUCUGGUUAAAAUGGAGAGAUUUUAUUCAGUGCAUCAUAUUUUUUUUAUGUUAUUUGUGUAACAAACUAUUGAUACUUCUUCUUACUCUUUUACUAGGUAUCUAACACAAAUUUACUACUAUUAAAGUGUGCGACCAACUCAUUUAAAAGCUUAAACGGUUAAAGUGGACACAAUUGAGUAAUAAUAUGACUAAGCAACGACGAAUGUGCUCAACAUAAGCUUUGCUCAAACUGUAGUUCUAUGUUGAAGUAUGACUGUGAUCGUUUCACGUGUAGGUCUGAUUCUUUUAAAUAUCUUAAGCACUUGUUAAUUCUUCUUUAAAUAAUGAGCAACGAUGAGAUUUUAUACCACAACACAAUUCUAGAUGAACGCGUAAUUGACAUCCAAUGCCUUAACUUUCAUCAAGUGAAAUCUACACAUUUAAAAUAUAAUUAUGAAUUAAAGAAUUAGGAAUCAAUCGAAUCUUCCCAAGUAGGAUUUGAACCUAUGAUCAAUCGGUUAACAACCGACCACUCUAUCAUUGAGCUACUGAGGAACAACAUGAGAUUCAAUCUCAUAGAGUUCAAUUUCCAUUUAAUUUUUGGGGUUUACCCGGUGAACACAACUCUUGCUCGGGUAGGUGGUGACAGUUUCCGGCAACUUACUAAAUUCCACCAUGCAUCAGUAUCGCCUACCGUAAUGUUCUUGCUCUGUUACUUUUCUUUUUAGUUUGUUUAAAAGAUAAUGUUUCUUUCUUUUUCGGCAACUCUUUAAUAAUUCUUACUUUUCACAUGAUAUAUUUAAGAUGACAAGAUUAAAAGUCAUCUUAAUACAUUCUACACAUCAUUAAUUUAGAAUUACAACAUUCAAAAAUUAAAACCAGAUAAAUAAAUUGAAACUAAAUAUCAUUUAUUCUAAUGGUAGGCCACAAGAAAGAGCGUCAAAUAAGCUAAGGAAGUCUAAUAGAUAUAGGUUCAUGGUUGGUUAGGAAUUUAAGUACUUGAACAAGUGUUCAUGCAUAUUAUUUAAUAAGUAAGUAGAAAAGAUAUUACAUAAAAUUAAAUAGUAGGACAGGUGAAGAUGUAUGUAUAUGAACAAUUAUAUUUCAAGGACAAUUUUGUCCACAUUUCAAUUUUCCUAUUUUUUUUUUUUUAGUAAACAAAUUAUGUACACAAAUCAAUACACUGUAUUUUCUUUCUUGUGUAUACUAUUUCAACCUAAGCAAUUUUUGCUCUUUUUCAUUCUAAUUCCUAAAAUGGAUAUGAAGAUAGUAAAUUAUUAGGUAUACAAGAAGAAUCCUUCCAUGCCUUAGCAUGAAAUUUGAGAAUUUCUCUAGCCUUUUCCUUAGCUUUACUUCCACAAUCAACUUGAAGCACCAAACAAAGCUUUGCCACCACACCCAAACUCAACAUUUCUUGAACAACACUUGGUGUUGAUGAGAACUUUGAGAUUGAAUGUAAGAUCUUGAUUGCCCUUUCGCUCCCCACUUUAGAAACCCUAAGUAUUUUCUUGGAGACAAUGGCUAAUCCUCCUGGAUGAUUCAAUAGUUCGGCUCUCCCUUCUGCGCUCUGACAAAUUUGAUCCAACAAAACUAGCAUCAAUUCACAAACCCUUUUCUCAGAUGAAUCGAGCAGAAGAAUCAACCAAAACCCUAAUUGCUCCUGCUUCUGCUGCUUUCACUCUGUUCCUCCCAAAUGGACACGCGUUCACUAGCACUUGCAAUGAUGCUUUCAUUGCCUUUUGAGAGAUCUCAUUCUUCAAGACUUGAACAACUUGUGUGAAGAAUUCUUGCUUCAAACUCAAAAGUAAAGUUGGUGUGGAUACUUCGAACAUGUCUUUCAUUAGCAUAACCGCGUAAGCCCUAGACUCAUAGCUCCCAUGUUGCAUGACACGUGUCAAUGACUCAAUGAAUUCUCCAUUUCCACUCAUGAUGAGUGACCUCAAUCCAUUUUCGGAUAAUUUGAGUUGAUAGAGGAUGCUAAGCGCUUCGUCUUUAGUACUCAUGAAACCAUCUUCUUCUUCAAACACUUCAUUCGAAUUAUUAAUAAUAGAAGCUAAGAACUCCAUUGCCCCCGCGGAUUCCAUGCAACGUUUGUUAGCAUCAUUCUCAGAAGCUAUGGAUCUGAGUCUCUUGAGAGAUUUCAUUUGCAUCUUAGGCGAUUUUGCUUCUUUUAGGAGCUUUAUUAUUUGUGGUUUGCUAACCGGAGGUUUUGGUGUAGGGAACCUUUCAAUACCAUGGGACGCAUUGAUAGUACACCACGAUUGGAUAAAUCUCCGAAGAGUGACAUUUGGGGUCAACUCUAUGCAUGUAAGAGACUGCUUCGUAGCCGGACAAGUGUUGUUCUUCGCAGAGAAUAUCCAUUUUUCGAUGUUUUCUCGAUCAUAUGUUAUUCCAGUUGAGAUCGUGACAGGAUCUUUCAUCAUCUCUAGAGAAAUCGGACAAAUAAAAUAAGGAGGUACUUGGAUUUCUUCCAUUUGUAUAUUUUGGAAAAUUUCAAGAUUAAUCAAAGAAGGAGAAAUCAAGAACAAGAGAAUAUUUUUUGUUAUUUUGAGUAGAUGAAGAAAUUGAAGCUUUUGUGGUUAUAUAUAUAAGUUGAGAAUAUUGGAAAGAGAUUUUCAAAGUCAAAAAUUAAACACGGCAAAUUAAAUAGGCCAAGUUACAUGUAUACGUAGGAAAAAAAGUGAACACAUUUUGACUUUUUCUAUCUAUAAAGUACAAAAUAAAAAUAAUAUAUAUUUAGUUUUAUUUUUUGUAUAAUAAACUCGUGUUUUAUUAGUGUAAAUAAAGACUGCCGACAGGACAACUUACUUUUAAUCUUUUAUUCACGUUAUUAAUUUGAUUAAACAUGAAAUUGUAAAAUAUAUUAUAUAUUUAAUUGAUGUGAUUAUUAAAAAAAAUGUUAUCUAUGAUGAGUAUAUAGUAAACUUUAAGGUUAAAUCGUUUGAAAUAUAAUUAAUAUUAGGUGUGGUACAAUGGUGGAACUUCUCCAUCAUUAUUAAUUCGAUGUCUCGGGUUGUGUAUGAAAAAAAUCAUGUUGAGGACCUUAUCUUCAAAAUAGAACCUGCAAUGCAUGAUACAUAUUUAAUUGGGACUCUAAUGCAGACACCACAUAAAAUAUAUUUUUAAUAAAAAUUAAUGCUGAUGGAAGGUUUUGGUUAUUGUCUAAUUUUCUUUAUCAAGUGCGAUUUAUAUUAGGUGGAUUAAAAAUUUGAAAUUUAUAGAUUCAUACAAUAGUCUCAAGUUAAUACACAAUAGUAUCUUAGUUCACAAUUAUAUAAUUAUAAAUAUUUAAUGAAUUUUAAUAAAAAUAAAAGACUUGCACAAAGUUACUAAUUCUUCACCAUUUUGACCUUUACCAAUUCUCUUACCUUUUAUUUAUUUCUUACGUAUUAUUAUUAUUAUUUAUUUAUUUUUGAGUAGUGAAAAUUUGCAUGAAAUUUUCAACAGGUUAUUUAUAGUUCAUGUUGCAGUUGGUAGUUAAGACCAGGUUUUAAUUGAAAUUUUCUUUUGAGUACUCAAAAUUUCAAAGAAAUUUUCAAUAGGUUAUUUUCAUUUCUUACUUUAUUGAUCAUUAGGCAAUACAUUUGGGUGGCAAUCAAACUUUUUUUGAACGGUGUCAUAUUUUUAUUAUUAUAAUAAAAUGUUAUUAUAAAAAAUAAUUAAUUUAUAAUAAAACAUCGUUAUAGAGAAUGAUUUGUUACAGAGAAAUGUGUCUUUAUAUAGUUAGCUUGAGGAAUUUAACAAGGGUCAAUAAUACUGUGUGCAUUUUUUCUCUUAGAAUAUUGAGAAAAAAUACACUUAUAUUUAAUAUAUAUAUAUAUAUAAUUUUAGUGUUUGACAAAUAUUAUUUUUCUUGAAUAAUGAAUUUCGAUGUGUAUUAUUUUAGGUUGUUGUAUUUGAUUUGUAUCUUCAUUUUGUUGUCUUAUUCCCUUACAAAUUUGUCUUGAAUCCUAUUAGAAUAAUUUUUCUAUCCCAUAAAGAUAGACUAAUUACUCAUAUCAUGUUCUAUCAUGUCUUUUUCAGAUCUCACUUGUGGGAUUACAUUAGGUAUGUUAUUGUUAUUGAUUUUCAAAAGUAAUUGUCUCAAAUUAUUCAACAUUUUAGAAGCUCAAGUUAAAAUUAAUUAAUUUUUUUCUUAUUUUACUCUUGAUAGUAUUUUUAAAAAAAGAAAGAUAAUCACAUAAAACUUAUUAUGGGGUUUUAUUCAAUGAAUAGAAAGACUAUAUAACAAGAUAUAAAUAAAAGUAAAAUAAUCAAAAUUUCUUAUAGUUAUUAUCUUUUUUAAAAUUGCGUAAAAAAUACAAUAAAUAAUUUUAGACGGAGAAGUAAUUAACUUACAAGUUGAUCCUAACAAACACUUGAGUUUGACAGAUAGCCAUCCUUUUCUAAAAUAGCCACAAAACAAAUGGUACAAGUUAAAAUGAGCUCAUAGUAUAUACUAUUGAAUUUCCAAGUCAAACUAUCCAAUAUAAUUAAUGAUGAAUUCAAUAAAGUAGCAAAGUCAACUAAGUUCACACAAAUUCACAUUUAUUUUUCUAAAGUCGUUUGGAGAUUUCAUGGAUCAUGAAAUAAGCGGCUAAAUUUUAAAGUCCAAUUAAUUAUUACAAUAUCCAAAGCUUAACCACUUGAUGCUUUCUUCUUUCAAUUGACGGACUUGUUGCACUCGUGUCCACAAGUUUUCAAAGCAUUAUCAUCAAAAUUAAUAGUUGUUGAAAAAUAUUGAAAAUUAUCGAAGUUUGAAGCACUAUCAAAAUUAAUAGUUACUGGAAAAUAUUGGAAAAUCUCGAAAUUUUUUGAAGCUAUUGAUGAAGCAUGCCUAUUGACAUUGUUCUUAAGGAUAUUUUACUCGAUUUAAUUAGGUUAGGUGUAUCAUUUAGAAUUCAACAAGCUCUUCUAAUAUAAAAUUAAGAGCACAUAAACUGGUAAAUCAUUUAUACAAAGUGAUCAUACUCGACGUUUCAGACUAUAUGGAAUAGUUGAAAUACGAAUCUGAAGUCUCCUUGACCCGACAUCCGUGGAAAUCACAAGAAACUAACUCAACACCUACAAAGGCUAAAACAAGCUCGGGACCUCACAAAAAUCAACCAAGAUCUCACCUAGGUCUAAAAUCAUCCAUUGAAUCCAACGGAACUCUCGAAAUUCUGAUCCAAGCAUCCAAAUCUCGAUUGUUGACCAAAGUCAACCCAAAGGCAAAAUUUUCACAAAUUCACAACUUACGACCUCAAAUCCUCAAAAAGACUCCGAAUCUGAAAACGAAAACUCUCUCAUAUUAGAUUCCACAUUCCUGGGCUGAUCGAAUCGACCAAAUUCUAUUCCGACACUCGAAACUCCAAAAGACACCAAAAACCAUUUUUAAGCAACUUAAGUCUUUCCAAAAUCAAAACUUACCAAAUUCUCAACUUUUUACUCAAAGCUUGGAAAAUAAUUUUCUAAACUCAAAGAUAGAAGACUUAGGGCCAAUAUCGAAAGGGUAAAAUAGUGAAUUUUCAAAAAUGACCAACCGGAUCAUUACACUCCUUUGCUAAGUAAUUGACACAUGUUUAUUACUGUUAAGGAUGUGAUCAAUUCAUUUAAAAUCUUAAAUGGUUAAAGUGGACAUAAUUGAGUCAUAAUAUGACUAAGUAAUGAAGAAUGUGCUCAACAUAAGCUUUUGCUCAAACUCAAGUUCAAUGGACGUGUAGGUCUGAUUCUUUUAAUUAUGUUAAACACUUGGUAAUUCUUCUUUAAAUAAUGAUUAGCAUUGAGAUUUUAUACCACAACACAAUUCUAGAUGAAUACAUAAUUGACAUCCAAUGCCUUAACUUUCAUCGAGUGAAAUCUAAACAUUUAAAAUAUAAUUCUGAAUUAAAGAAUUAGGAAUCAAUCAAAUAGGAUUUGAACCUAUGACCAAUCGGUUAACAGCCGGUCAUUCUACCACUGAGCUACUGAGGAACAACAAGAUAUUCGAUCUCAUAGAGCUCAAUUCUCUUUCUUCGAAUUUACUCGGUGAGCACAAUUCUUGAUCGGGUAGGUGGUGCCGGUUUCCGACAACUUGCUAACUUCCACCAUGCAUCGGUCAUCGCCUACCCUAAUGCUCCUUCUCCGUUACUUUUCUUUUUAAUUUGUUUAAAAGAUAAUGUUUUUUUUUUUUUUGGCAACUCUUUAACUUUUACUUUCCGCAUGAUAUAUUUAAGAUCACACGAUUAAAAAUCAUCUUAAUAAAUUCUACACAUCUUUAAUUUAAGAUCACAACAUUCAAAAUCCAAACCAAAUAAAUAAAUUGAAACUAAAUAUCAUUAUUCUAAUGGUAGGCCACGAGAAAGAGCGUCAAAUAAGGGAUGCUAAGGAAGUAAAUGUCUAAUAAAUUAUGGUUGGUUAGGAAUUUAAGUACUCAGCUUGAAUAAGUGUGUAUAUUACCUAAACUACAUAAAAUUAAAUAGUAGGACAGGUGAAGAUGUAUGUAUAUGAACAAUUAUAUUUCAAGGACAAUUUUGUCCACAUUUCAAUUUUCCUAUUUUUUUUUCAGUAAACAAAUUAUGUACACAAAUCAAUACAUUGUAUUUUCUUUUUUGUGUAUACUAUAUAUUUCUAUCUAACAAUUGUUUGUUCUUUUUAUCCUAAUUCCUAAAAUGGAUAUGAAGAUAAUAAAUUAUUAGGUAUACAAGGAGAAUUCAUCCAUGCCUUUGCAUGAAAUUUGAGAAUUUCUCUAGCUCUUUCCUUAGCUUUACUUCCACAAUCAACUUGAAGAACCAAACAAAGCUUUGCCACCACACCCAAACUCAACAUCUCUUGAACAACACUUGGUGUUGAUGAAAACUUUGAGAUUGAAUGUAAGAUCUUGAUUGCCCUUUCACUCCCCACUUUAGAAACCCUAAGUAUUUUCUUGGAGACAAUGGCUAAUCCUCCAGGAUGAUUCAAUAGCUCGGCUCUCCCUUCUGCGCUCUGACAAAUUUGAUCCAACAAAACUAGGAUAAAUUCACAAACCCUUUUCUCAGAUGAAUCGAGCAGAAGAUCAACCAAAACCCUAAUUGCUCCUGCUUCUGCUGCUUUCACUUUGUUCCUCCCAAAUGGACACGCGUUCACUAACACUUGCAAGGAUGCUUUCAUUGCCUUUUGAGAGAUCUCAUCCCUCAAGACUUGAACAACUUGUAUGAAGAAUUCUUGCUUCAAACUCAAAAGUAGAGUUGGUGUGGAUACUUCGAACAUGUCUUUCAUUAGCAUAACCGCGUAAGCCCUAGACUCGUAGCUCCCAUGUUGCAUGACACGUGUCAAUGACUCAAUGAAUUCUCCAUUUCCACUCAUGAUGAGUGACCUCAAUCCAUUUUCAGAUAAUUUGAGUUGAUAGAGGAUGCUAAGCGCUUCAUCUUUAGUACUCAUGAAACCCUCUUCUUCUUCAAACACUUCAUUCGAAUUAUUAUUAUUAUUAAUAAUAGAAGCUAAGAACUCCAUUGCCCCCGCGGAUUCCAUGCAACGUUUGUUAGCAUCAUUCUCAGAAGCUAUGGAUCUGAGUCUCUUGAGAGAAUUCAUUUGCAUCUUAGGCGAUUUUGCUUUCUUUUAGGAGCUUUAUUAUUUGUGGUUUGCUAACCGGAGGCUUUGGUGUAGGGAACCUUUCAAUACCAUGGGACGAAUUGAUAGUACACCACGAUUGGAUUAAUCGUCGAAGAGUAACAUUUGGGGUCAACUCUAUGCAUGUAAGAGACUGUUUCGUAGCCGGACAAGAGUUGUUCUUUGCUGAGAAUAUCCAUUUUUCGAUGUUUUCUCGAUCAUAUGUUAUUCCAGUUGAGAUCGUGACAGGAUCUUUCAUCAUCUCUAGAGAAAUUGGACAAAUAAAAUAAGGAGGUACUUGAAUUUCUUCCAUUUGUAUAUUUUGGGAAAUUUCAAGAUUAAUCAAAGAAGGAGAUCAAUCUUAUAAGAAAGUUGCAAAUAUGUCCAAAAAAAAAAAAGAGGAAUAUUUUUUAGUAGAUGAAGUUUUGUUGAGACUUUAGAUGAG